CUAUAGAACUUUAACAGCGCUUGCUGAGUAGAAUGCGCUUUUCUAAAACCAAACUGAUAAUAAGGUAUUCGUUUGAUUAUUAACCAUUUUCAAUUUAUUCUUUUAAGAGGUGUUCAAAUAUCUUGCCAAUGUUUGAUAGAAGGGAAAUCGGAUAAUAAUCGGAAGGAAGCAUACUAUCCGAUUUCUUUUUGAUUGGUAUUAUUUUCACCACUUUCCAAUCAGACGGAAAAUAUCCGUUGUUAAUACAAUGUUUAAAAAUAACGGUGAGUAAAUUUAUAGUUGCAUCAGGUAACUUUUUCAAUAUGAAAUUUGAGAUGUCAUCCAACCCACUGAUUUUUUUAUUAUUGAUACGUUGAAAAAUACCUUUAACUUUUUAAUCAGGGUUGCCAAAGUGGUAAUUAUCUUGAUUAUGAACAGCACCAAAAUCAUCAUCAAAGGUAUAAAUGUGACGAGGAAUGGCAUUUGUGAAGCCAAAAUUCUGGAUUGCAAUUCUUCAACUGGAUGUGUGGGUAGUGUUUGGCAGAACGUUUCAGAAUAAAACUCCUGGAACUCGUGCGCAAUUACGGUGGUGCUGGUGCGUACAUCAUUGUUCCGUACAAUUUGAUGGCAGAAUGGAGCUUUUGUUUUACCCGAUAUUUGGUAAAUGUUCAGUUGGCAGUUGGGCCAGGUUUAAUCUCCUGCAGUCUUUCGUCGAAAUAGCUGACCGUCUCCUUAAUAAUAGUCUUUAUCAGUUGAAUUUGUUUGGAUAGCACAACAUAUCUACUGCCUAUCCGGUUCCCCGUUGGAUGAAAAAUAUUUUUCAAUUUCUUUUGCCAUGUGUGUUUAAUUUUAUAAAAUUUCUUUGCCUUUUCAUAAAGAGGAAAUUUAUUGCCUUGGAUAAGGUUUUGUAUGGUUUGGUAUGGGCGUUGUGCAUGGAACUGAAAGAGAAUUUGAAAUCGUCUAUUAAGGAAUCGAUCUCGUGAUCUUCAAGAUUCGAUGAAGAAAGGGGCAUAUUGCGAAGAGAUCCAGCGUCCAUAUGUUGUACAAAAUUAGACCAAUUUGUAUCUUUAUAGGAGGCAUAUAUUCGGGCUGAUAUCAUCAAAAGUUCCGGUUGAUCAACACGACGAGUCAGCUUAACAGGAAAAUGAUCAGAGAAAGAAUGUGAAAAUUUGGCAAGGUUCUGUUCAAUAGAUGUGAGCUUAACAAAAACUGAUCUAAAAAUUAUGAACCAUUUGGAUAUGAAGGCGAAGUGUAACAAAGGCAGCUCACAUCGAGGCUAUUAUCCUCAAGCCAUUUUCGUAAAGUCUUUCCAUUCAUGCCAUCUUUAGGUGCCAUUCCUGAAUGAAGCCAAUGCCGAUUCGAUUGAGAUGAAGAGUAUCCUUUAGGUCUAUUUGUCGACUGAUAUCGACAGGAGAUCUUACAUUGUAUGUUAGAAAUUUCAUUAUCCUAUAGUCCAUAAUUAAUCCUUUGUUUAACAGGCGCAAAAAUUCUGCUUUGGCCUCGGGUUUUGGCAUGUCUGAAUAUUAAGAAAGAAAAAUGUUGACAUUUUGCUCCAAGGUCAAAUCUUCCGGAUCCAGAAAAAGGGAUGCCAAUUUUAAAAAUUGGUCACUUGGUGGUGGUUUUUGUUGUGGCGCUUUAUUGCGUAAGACAAGCUCUAUUUAUAUUGGCCUUGGUACGCUCCCUCUCCUCAAUGGCCUUAGAUAUCCGUUGCUUAAGGGCAGCAACGCUUGAUGGCCCGUCUCACCACAGUUGUUGCUGAAGGGAUCACUUGAGUCAUCCUUUGUACGCUGACAUUCCCCUGGACCAUGCUCCUUAUCACAUUUUACACAAUUAUAAGCUGAAUUUCAAUUCUUUGAGAUGUGUCCCCAUCGUUGGCAUCUUCUACAUUAAAUUUCGGAAUUUUUUUCUUGGUUUUUCCCACGAAACAAAUUGUGUUAGAAGCCAGAAUGAAAGAUGGCUGUUUUAAUUCCUUGGGUGCAAACGUGUAAGAGUGGAUGCCUUUUUCUCGGAGAAGUGCCAUCAUUGGAGAAUGGACAGAUGGUUCAGCAACAAAAUAAUUUACUUUUAUUCAUAUUAAUAUUUUUUACCUUAAAAGAAAAUUUCGGUAUAGUUUCUUUCAAGGUGUCAACAAGAGCCUUGAUGUUCACGUUGUAAAUA